rnacentral:rRNA from 1 species
CCUACGGGAGGCAGCAGUAGGGAAUAUUGCUCAAUGGGGGAAACCCUGAAGCAGCAACGCCGCGUGGAGGAUGAAGGUUUUCGGAUUGUAACCUCCUUUUGUUAGAGAAGCUACUGACGGUCUCUAACGAAUAAGCCCCGGCUAACUCCGUGCCAGCCGCCGCGGUAAUACGGAGGGUGCAAGCGUUUAUCGGAAUCACUGGGCGUAAAGCGCGCGUUGGCGGGAUAGCACGUCAGAUGUGAAAUCCUAUGGCUUAACCAUAGAACUGAAUGUGAAAUUGGUAUUCUAGAGUAUGGGAGAGGUAGGUGGAAUUCUUGGUGUAGGGGUAAAAUCCGUAGAGAUAAAGAGGAAUACUCAUUGCGAAGGCGACCUGCUAGAACAUAACUGACGCUGAUGCGCGAAAGCGUGGGGAGCAAACAGGAUUAGAUACCCCAGUAGUC